rnacentral:rRNA from 1 species
GACAGAGGGUGCAAACGUUGUUCGGAAUUACUGGGCGUAAAGCGCGUGUAGGCGGCCCUGCAAGUCGGAUGUGAAAUCCCACGGCUCAACCGGGGAAGUGCAUUCGAAACUGCAGGGCUAGAGUCCUGGAGAGGAAGGUGGAAUGCUUGGUGUAGAGGUGAAAUUCGUAGAUAUCAAGCGGAACACCGGUGGCGAAGGCGGCCGUCUGGACAGUGACUGACGCUGAGACGCGAAAGCGUGGGGAGCAAACAGG